rnacentral:rRNA from 1 species
GCUGGCGGCAUGCCUAACACAUGCAAGUCGAGCGCACCUUCGGGUGAGCGGCGGACGGGUUAGUAACGCGUGGGAACGUACCCUUUUCUACGGAAUAGCCUUUGGAAACGAAGAGUAAUACCGUAUACGCCCUUUGGGGGAAAGAUUUAUCGGAGAAGGAUCGGCCCGCGUUAGAUUAGAUAGUUGGUGGGGUAACGGCCUACCAAGUCUACGAUCUAUAGCUGGUUUUAGAGGAUGAUCAGCAACACUGGGACUGAGACCCGGCCCAGACUCCUACGGGAGGCAGCAGUGGGGAAUCUUAGACAAUGGGCGCAAGCCUGAUCUAGCCAUGCCGCGUGAGUGAUGAAGGCCUAGGGUCGUAAAGCUCUCUCGCCUGUGAUGAU